AUUGAACGCUGGCGGCAGGCCUAACACAUGCAAGUCGAACGAGUGGCGGACGGGUGAGUAAUGACUGGGAAACUGCCCGAUGGAGGGGGAUAACUACCGGAAACGGUAGCUAAUACCGCAUACCAUCGGAUGUGCCCAAAUGGGAUUAGCUAUUAGGUGGGGUAACGGCUCACCUAGGCGACGAUCCCUAGCUGGUCUGAGAGGAUGACCAGCCACACUGGAACGGAGACACGGUCCAGGCUCCUACGAGAGGCAGCAGUGGGGAAUAUUGCGCAAUGGGAGCAAGCCUGAUGCAGCCAUGCCACGUGUAUGAGGAAGGCCUUCGGGUUGUAAAGUACUUUCAGCGAGGAGGCGUUACUCGCAGAAGAAGCACCGGCUAACUCCGUGCCAGCAGCCGCGGUAAUAC
rnacentral:rRNA from 1 species